CCAGUAGGUGACCUGCGGUAGGAUCAUU
rnacentral:rRNA from 3 species